AAUGUGCACGAUAGGCAAUUGCUGUUGG
rnacentral:piRNA from 1 species